UCGGCUAGGGGGCCAUCCCGGCUUACCAACCCGAUGCAAACUACGAAUACCGAAGAAUGUUAUCACGGGAGACACACGGCGGGUGCUAACGUCCGUCGUGAAGAGGGAAACAACCCAGACCGCCAGCUAAGGUCCCAAAGUCAUGGUUAAGUGGGAAACGAUGUGGGAAGGCACAGACAGCCAGGAUGUUGGCUUAGAAGCAGCCAUCAUUUAAAGAAAGCGUAAUAGCUCACUGGUCGAGUCGGCCUGCGCGGAAGAUGUAACGGGGCUAAACCAUGCACCGAAGCUGCGGCAGCGACRCUAUGYGUUGUUGGGUAGGGGAGCGUUCUGUAAGCCGUUGAAGGUGUCCUGUGAGGGGUGCUGGAGGUAUCAGAAGUGCGAAUGCUGACAUAAGUAACGAUAAAGCGGGUGAAAAGCCCGCUCGCCGGAAGACCAAGGGUUCCUGUCCAACGUUAAUCGGGGCAGGGUGAGUCGACCCCUAAGGCGAGGCCGAAAGGCGUAGUCGAUGGGAAACAGGUUAAUAUUCCUGUACUUGGUGUUACUGCGAAGGGGGGACGGAGAAGGCUAUGUCAGCCGGGCGACGGUUGUCCCGGUUUAAGCAUGUAGGCGGAGGUUCCAGGUAAAUCCGGUACCUUGUUAACGCUGAGGUGUGAUGACGAGGCACUACGGUGCUGAAGUGAUAAAUGCCCUGCUUCCAGGAAAAGCCUCUAAGCAUCAGGUAACACGAAAUCGUACCCCAAACCGACACAGGUGGUCAGG
rnacentral:rRNA from 1 species